rnacentral:lncRNA from 1 species
ACGUCAUAGUUUCGCUCUGCCGGGCUGAGCUUCCUCGAGAAGAAGGCACAGGGGCGGAGCUUUGGUGGCGUACCCGAGCGCUGAGAGAGCACAGCUCCUAUCCCAGCCUCGGACGUGUCCACCUCCACUAUGAACGCCAAAGAGGGAUUCGGAUGGGCCAGCACGGGAGCCGAGGGCAGGUACGCGCUACUUCAUUGGAUCUUCUCUGCAGCAUUAAUCUGGCCUGGACCCCAGGAGACAUGACCAUACUAGAGUUAUACGCAUAGACAUCAUACUCAGAUACCUUGCAAUUGGAAUGCAUGCCUGUCCCAACCAAGGACGACUGGAGGGCCAUAGCUACUGGCUUUGAAGAAUGGUGCAACUUUCCUCAUUGUCUGGGAUCAGUGGAUGGCAAGCACGUAGUCCUGCAAUCGCCCCCUAAACUCCAGCUCCCUGUUCUACAACCACAAGGGGACAUUCUCCAUUGUCCUCUUGGCGGUUGUGGAUGCCAAUUACCUCUUUCGGUUAGUGGAUGUCGGCAGCUAUGGGAGGAAGAGCGGCGGAGAUACUCUGGCAAUCUGCCUUUUAUCCUCAAGGAUGGCACCCUG